rnacentral:rRNA from 1 species
CUACGGGUGGCACCAGUGGGGAAUAUUGGACAAUGGGGGAAACCCUGAUCCAGCAAUGCCGCGUGUGUGAAGAAGGCCUGCGGGUUGUAAAGCACUUUCGGUUGGGAGGACUGCUUCUAGCACUAAUAUUGUUGGAAGUUGACGUUACCUUCAGAAGAAGCACCGGCUAACUCCGUGCCAGCAGCCGCGGUAAUACGGAGGGUGCAAGCGUGAAUCGGAAUUACUGGGCGUAAAGCGCGCGUAGGCGGCUAGAUCAGUCGGGUGUGAAAGCCCCGGGCUUAACCUGAGAACUGCAUCCGAUACUGUCUAGCUUGAGUACAGGAGAGGAGAGUGGAAUUCCACAUGUAGCGGUGAAAUGCGUAGAUAUGUGGAGGAACACCAAUGGCGAGGGCAGCUCUCUGGCCUGAUACUGACGCUGAGGUGCGAAAGCGUGGGGAGCAAACAGGAUUAGAUACCCGUGUAGUC